CCGGCGCCCGUCGUGCGUCGGUCUUUAUACCUCGGUCUGAGGCCAUUUGGUGUUCCCACUCGAGUCCUGUAAAGAAGGCAAGGAGGCUCGGGAUUGGAUUUAGGUCAGUGCCACGCAUCUCUCAUCCCAGGCUCCCAGGUGGAAGCCGCAGCAGCAGCUAUCUGGAGGCGAGUUCAUUCCAUGGUGAUGGGAGGCGUGCCGGA
rnacentral:lncRNA from 1 species